rnacentral:rRNA from 1 species
UACGGAGGGUGCAAGCGUUAUCCGGAUUCACUGGGUUUAAAGGGUGCGUAGGCGGGUUGGUAAGUCCGUGGUGAAAUCCCCAAGCUUAACUUGGGAACUGCCGUGGAUACUAUCAAUCUUGAAUAUCGUGGAGGUAAGCGGAAUAUGUCAUGUAGCGGUGAAAUGCUUAGAUAUGACAUAGAACACCAAUGGCGUAGGCAGCUUACUAGACGAUCAUUGACGGUGAGGCACGAAAGCGGGGGGAGCAAACAGG